rnacentral:rRNA from 1 species
CCUACGGGAGGCAGCAGUGAGGAAUAUUGGUCAAUGGACGAGAGUCUGAACCAGCCAAGUAGCGUGAAGGAUGACUGCCCUAUGGGUUGUAAACUUCUUUUAUAAAGGAAUAAAACGAGGCACGUGUGCCUUUUUGCAUAUACUUUAUGAAUAAGGAUCGGCUAACUCCGUUCCAGCAGCCGCGGUAAUACGGAGGAUCCGAGCGUUAUCCGGAUUUAUUGGGUUUAAAGGGAGCGUAGAUGGGUUGUUAAGUCAGUUGUGAAAGUUUGCGGCUCAACCGUAAAAUUGCAAUUGAUACUGGCAGUCGUGAGUACAGUUGAGGUAGGCGGAAUUCGUGGUGUAGCGGUGAAAUGCUUAGAUAUCACGAAGAACCCCGAUUGCGAAGGCAGCUUACUAAACUGUGACUGACAUUGAUGCUCGAAAGUGUGGGUAUCAAACAGGAUUAGAUACCCGGGUAGUC